GACACAUUGGGGAAGUUGUCAAAUGAUAAACCUUUGUGGUAACCUCGCUGUGUGAAGCUGUGAGUGUCCACAAACAAGCCAGGAGUCCUCGAGUCCCUCUGAGGGAGCAGCUGAUACGACUUGCCAAACAUUGUUAAUCUUCUCCAUGGGUGUGCUGCCAAUGGUCCUGUGAAAGAACAGCUGCUCCAGUUUCUCAGAGCUCACAAAGUGGAGGGAUGGAAGCAGAAGUAACAGUCUCCCAAACCUUGAUGGACAAGAACAAAGAAUGAGUGCGAGCCGUCUGGGGGCUUUCUGAAGGAAGACAAGGAGAUUAGCACCAGGCGCUGUGUCUUCGCCCAAUGUCAGCUGGGAUCGGCUCCAGCCCCCCUGCGACCCUGAAUAGGAUAAGCGGUUACAGAUAAUGGAUGAAUGGAUGAAUGGAUUCUCACAAACUACUCACUCUCCAACCAGAGACAGACUGACAGACGCAGACAGAAUGAGAAAAAUAAAGUUUUUUUUAACAUUACAGCAUGUAAACAUGUUCUAAUAGAAACAUAAAAUACAAAUAUGUACCUGAAAAUGAGCAUAAUAUGGGACCUUUAACUUUCCACAGUUUAUUGACAUUGACACAGUUUAUUGACAUAUAUAUAUAUAUAUAUAUAUAUAUAUGUGUAUAUUAUGUAAUAAGUGUAUAUUAUACACAAACCGUGGCCAACAGGCCUGGUAGCUUGGCCUAUAGUAGGGUACCUUGUAACCACUGGAUGUAAAACUAGUUAAAACAGUCAGUUAAAAUAGUUCAAACUUGACAUCAGGAUGUCUCAAAUGCACCUUUAACAACAACUUGUGAUCCUUUUUCACUUCCCAACUUUGACAUAAUAAACUAAGUUUGGGAAGUUAAUGAACACACAUUCACACUACACUAGGUUAGACGUUUGGUUGCAGUAUACAUUUACACUCAAAACACCAUCUUUAUACUGACCUAAGCAGUACCGAGUAUGGUAAUCUGGAGCCUCAUAUCAGAUUACAUAACACAGGUGUCACUCACAUGUCAGGGGUGAGCUGAUUAUCUUGUUGUUCACACUAGUAGAAAGGAAAUUUACAUGUAAGGCGCAUGCUAAAAGGUCAUUUUUGAGGAAAAUUAUUGUUUGGCUAGUUCAGACCAUUUCAAAUGUGAAAGUUAGUUUAAUUUGUUUGUGAUCACUAAUAAUACCUUUACGCUGAUAUUAUGUAUGUUCCCGAAUUGAGUUACGCAUAAGCAAAGCGUAACCUGUGAAACACAUAAUAGUCUUUUCUUGACUCUCCAGUUGUCGGCACGGGUAAAAUGCUGCUGCCAUCAGCAAAGUGCUGCUUUGAAGUUUUGCCUAGCAGGGAUAACUGUCACGUUUCUCCACUCCUCAGCCCUGUGAUUGAUGCAGCCAAUCUUUAGCAGCCCACUGCCAUGAGCGAGCUGGAUGAUUAUGUAUUUAGUGGGAACAUUUAUGAUGACAGAGUCCUGCAGGUGAUUGAACACAUGUCACUAGUAAAACCCUAGCUCAGUUGCUUGGCAGAUCAGACUGAUCAGCUGUUCAUGAGUGCCGUUACCUUUUUACAUAUUAUGAUUUUCAAAUACUUUUCACUGUAGUCAGUUGCAGUGCAUCAGACAUUGAGGACACAUGCCCUGCAGCAGGUAUACAUGUGUAAGACAUAAUUCUUUUGUCCUUCAGAGGAUGUCCUUGAAUGCUAGUUCACAAAUCUUUGUAUCAGUCUAAGCAGCUUUUUAUAUAAUCUCCAUGAAUGACAGCUAUUGUCAAAGAGUGGGAUUAACUUUUAAAGUUGUUGGCAUGCACAUGGAGCAGGUGCCUCAAGUUGCAAAGGCAUAAAAUAGGUCAUAAUUGAUUAUGUUUGUUUGUUUUUUAAUCUAAUUAUGAGCUAAAUCAUUCUAAUUUUAGGACUAUGAUAAAACAAUGUAUAUACUGUAGAUAAAUAUAUAAAGUAUAUAGAUAGACAACUUUUGGCAUCAAAAACAUACAAACCUGGACAAAAUUCUUGUCAAAUAAACUUUGAAAAAACUGUUUUUGUAUAAAUCUAAAAUGUAAAGUUACCAAUUUCUAAUGAAUAACUGUCUCAGCAGGAUAAUCUUAUGCCCGCUCAACAGCAUAAGCUUCUAUUACACUGCACUCAGCAUGUCUACCUGAUUUCAAGUAGCUGCAGAGAAUGGUUAAACAAGCUUGCAUGGUUAAGCUUUGUAGGUUCACUUCAGCAGUUCCUGUGGUCGCCCCCAAGUCAGAUGAGGUGGAAGGAUUGAGGUGUCAGCACUAUGGCUACCAGGGAUUGCCCCGCCUUGCCAUCUGCUGCCACUACUGUAAUCCACACAAUGAGAAAAUCAGUUGUCUCAGUCCGUAUCAAAGUCAUGUCAGCUCAAUUCAACAGGCAAAUCAACAUCAUUGAGAGAAAAUCCAUGUUAUUGCUGACAAAGGAACUGAGAGGCUUAUUUGAUUAUAAAAUUGCAUGCUCUUUGGCAUGGAUAAAACGGAACAUUUUAGAUAAAUUAACACAAAUUUGAAAGUAAAUUAACACUGACAUGAUUACUUUGUUUCUAACUUGAAAUUAUAUAAAUUUCUUACAGUUAAUGGGAUGAUUUUGUCACACCAUUAUCGACUG